UACGGAGGGUGCGAGCGUUGUCCGGAAUCACUGGGCGUAAAGGGCGCGUAGGUGGCGCGACAAGUCAACGGUGAAAGCUCGAUGCUCAACAUCGAGUCGGCCGUCGAUACUGUCGGGCUGGAGCACUGUAGAGGCUCAUGGAAUUCCGGGUGUAGCGGUGGAAUGCGUAGAGAUCCGGAAGAACACCGGUGGCGAAGGCGGUGAGCUGGGCAGUUGCUGACACUGAGGCGCGACAGCGUGGGGAGCAAACAGG
rnacentral:rRNA from 1 species